AUUGAACGCUGGCGGCAUGCCUUACACAUGCAAGUCGAACGGCAGCACGGGUGCUUGCACCUGGUGGCGAGUGGCGAACGGGUGAGUAAUACAUCGGAACAUGUCCUGUAGUGGGGGAUAGCCCGGCGAAAGCCGGAUUAAUACCGCAUACGAACUACGGAUGAAAGCGGGGGACCUUCGGGCCUCGCGCUAUAGGGUUGGCCGAUGGCUGAUUAGCUAGUUGGUGGGGUAAAGGCCUACCAAGGCGACGAUCAGUAGCUGGUCUGAGAGGACGACCAGCCACACUGGAACUGAGACACGGCCCAGACUCCUACGGGAGGCAGCAGUGGGGAAUUUUGGACAAUGGGCGAAAGCCUGAUCCAGCAAUGCCGCGUGUGUGAAGAAGGCCUUCGGGUUGUAAAGCACUUUUGUCCGGAAAGAAAUCCUUGGCCCUAAUACGGUCGGGGGAUGACGGUACCGGAAGAAUAAGCACCGGCUAACUACGUG
rnacentral:rRNA from 1 species